rnacentral:rRNA from 1 species
UGGGGAAUAUUGCACAAUGGGCGCAAGCCUGAUGCAGCCAUGCCGCGUGUAUGAAGAAGGCCUUCGGGUUGUAAAGUACUUUCAGCGGGGAGGAAGGGAGUAAAGUUAAUACCUUUGCUCAUUGACGUUACCCGCAGAAGAAGCACCGGCUAACUCCGUGCCAGCAGCCGCGGUAAUACGGAGGGUGCAAGCGUUAAUCGGAAUUACUGGGCGUAAAGCGCACGCAGGCGGUUUGUUAAGUCAGAUGUGAAAUCCCCGGGCUCAACCUGGGAACUGCAUCUGAUACUGGCAAGCUUGAGUCUCGUAGAGGGGGGUAUAAUUCCAGGUGUAGCGGUGAAAUGCGUAGAGAUCUGGAGGAAUACCGGUGGCGAAGGCGGCCCCCUGGACGAAGACUGACGCUCAGGUGCGAAAGCGUGGGGAGCAAACA